rnacentral:tRNA from 1 species
AGGGGGCUAGUCCAAAACAAGACCUCUGACUUCGACUCAGAAAACCGUGGUUUGACUCCACGACCCCCUU